rnacentral:rRNA from 1 species
GUGAGGAAUAUUGGGCAAUGGGCGCAAGCCUGACCCAGCAACGCCGCGUGGAGGAUGAAGGCCCUUGGGUCGUAAACUCCUUUUCUGGGGGAAGAGCAAGGACGGUACCUCAGGAAUAAGUCACGGCUAACUACGUGCCAGCAGCCGCGGUAAUACGUAGGUGGCGAGCGUUAUCCGGAAUUACUGGGCGUAAAGCGCACGCAGGUGGUCGAUCAAGUCUGGCGUGAAAGCUCCUGGCUUAACUGGGAGAGGUCGUUGGAAACUGAUCGACUUGAGGCAAUGAGAGGGGUGCGGAAUUCCCGGUGUAGUGGUGGAAUGCGUAGAUAUCGGGGGGAACACCAGUGGCGAAAGCGGCACCCUGGCAUUGUCCUGACACUCAUGUGCGAAGGCGUGGGGAGCGAACGGGAUUAGAUACCCUAGUAGUCC